rnacentral:rRNA from 1 species
UACGUAGGUGGCAAGCGUUGUCCGGAUUUAUUGGGUUUAAAGGGUGCGUAGGCGGCCCUAUAAGUCAGUGCUGAAAUAUCCCGGCUUAACCGGGAGGGUGGCAUUGAUACUGUAGGGCUUGAGUGUAGUCGAGGUAGGCGGAAUUGACGGUGUAGCGGUGAAAUGCUUAGAUAUCGUCAAGAACACCGAUAGCGAAGGCAGCUUACUGGGCUGUAACUGACGCUGAGGCACGAAAGUGUGGGGAUCAAACAGG